rnacentral:rRNA from 1 species
GUGGGGAAUCUUGCGCAAUGGGCGAAAGCCUGACGCAGCAACGCCGCGUGGAUGAUGAAGGCCUUCGGGUUGUAAAGUCCUUUCAGCAGGGAAGAAGCCCUCCGGGGUGACGGUACCUGCAGAAGAAGCCCCGGCUAACUACGUGCCAGCAGCCGCGGUAAUACGUAGGGGGCAAGCGUUGUCCGGAAUUAUUGGGCGUAAAGAGCACGUAGGCGGUUUGCCAAGUCAGGUGUGAAAACCUAGGGCUCAACCCUAGGCCUGCAUUUGAAACUGGCAGACUAGAGUCUAUCAGAGGGAAGUGGAAUUCCUAGUGUAGCGGUGAUAUGCGCAGAUAUUAGGAAGAACACCGGUGGCGAAGGCGGCUUCCUGGGAUAAGACUGACGCUGAGGUGCGAAAGCUAGGGUAGCAAACAGGAUUAGAAACCCUUGUAGUCC